AGCAGCCGCGGUAAUUCCAGCUCCAAUAGCGUAUAUUAAAGUUGUUGCAGUUAAAAAGCUCGUAGUUGAAUUUCGAGAUCAAAUUGUUGGUCGUGCCUCGGUACGUACUGGCAUUAUUGAUUUCUCCCUUCUGACGAUCCGCGAUGUCAUUAAUUUGGUGUCGUGGGGAAUCAGGACUGUUACUUUGAAAAAUUAGAGUGUUUAAAGCAGGCUCACGCUUGAAUACAUUAGCAUGGAAUAAUGAAAUAGGACGUUUGAUUCUAUUUUGUUGGUUUCUAGGAUCGACGUAAUGAUUAAUAGGGAUAGUUGGGGGCAUUAGUAUUCAAUUGUCAGAGGUGAAAUUCUUGGAUUUAUUGAAGACUAACUACUGCGAAAGCAUUUGCCAAGGAUGUUUUCAUUAAUCAAGAACGAAAGUUAGGGGAUCGAAGACGAUCAGAUACCGUCGUAGUCUUAACCAUAAACUAUGCCGACUAGGGAUCGGAUGAUGUUAAUUUUA
rnacentral:sRNA from 1 species